GCAUUUUGGUAUUAUUUAUGUUAAUGUAAUCCUUUCCCGAUUCUCUGAGCUUUUUUCGUAUGUUACAUUUCCAUGAUUCAGGAUUUUUCCUCCUUUUCUUUGGAGUGGGUGAAGAGAUUCUAAAUUGGAUUUCUUCAUAUCUUAUAUCAACGUUUGGGGAUAUUGAGGUUAAAAAUCUGACUUCAUUUGUACUAAGAAGCAAAGUGUGAAAAAAUAUUCCAAAAACCUAAAAAUAAUAUUUACCUAUUUGCAAGACAUUCGUGAUCUGCUUCUUUAAAUGCAUAUUCUGAUGGUGAUUUUAUGGGUAUUAAAUCUUCAUCAAACAUCCUAAAUGGCAUAGAAAUAUUACAAAAUGUCAGACAAACAAUUAAAUACUACUUACUGAAUAAUUUCAUCGGACAAGAACGGUGGUGGUGAUAAAAAUUCCAUUUUUACUUCAGCGCCCAAAUUAUUUAUGACUUGUUGAUGUUUAUGUACAAAAUUUUCACUAAAUUUAUAAGAUGGUGUUACCAGACUAACACAUAUUUUAUAUGUAUACAAAAACUGUCAAAGCUGUAAGCUGCAAUAAUAACACUCAGUGUAAUAGAACUGUCAAAAUCCAUAUACAAAUAAUGUAAACAAGAGUUUAAAAACACCUUGUUAUGUAUGCUUUGAUCUCCGUUUUUGUUAUGGCAGUGGAGCAAAACAAAAGUGAUUAAUUUGUUUUCAAUUUUCGUAUGAAAAUGGCGGUCUAUACGCCAAACAGUGGCGUAUGGAGCAAAACAAUAUUUAUUUAGUCUUAAAAUUGUGGAUAUAGACCGAAGUUAACACCCGAUAUCUCGGAAUUCGUACCAAAUAUUGAAAAAUGGGUUUUGGAAUCGGAAAGAGGAUGUCGAAAUUAUAUACAAUCCACUCCUAACUCAUUUUUUUUAAAAAUGUAAAUUAAAUUUGCUCCAAUUGUUCACUUUUAAAUUUCGUUUAAUACAUCACCAGUGAGUUGCCCGUGUAAAAACCCAAUAUACAGAUAAAACUUCGACAAACAAAUUACUUUUCUUCCGGCUGGCCAGGAGUACGUGUGCUG